ensembl:snRNA U6 U6 spliceosomal RNA
UGUGCCUGCUUCAGCAACACAUAACUAAAAUCGGAACAAUAUAGAGAAGAUUAGCAGAGCCGCUGCACAAGGACGAUAUACAAAUUCCUGAAACAGUCUAUAUUGUU